GAACAAGUUUAAAUACCUCUCAACACCACUCAACAGGGUGUGCAAAUGCGCUCAACAUGUUGAGUCCAAAAUGUUGAGUGAACAUGUUGAGCGCGUUUGCACGUAGGUUAAUAAUUAUAUUGAUCACACUUGUUUUGAUGUAUGCGAUACAUGCCUGCACAAAGGAUGUGCAUUAAUUGAAUCGGAGCAGCGUGAAUUCCCCGACUGUCAUAAGUCUUGCCGAUCAAGUGCAUGUUACAACCUACAUAAAAAACAACGCAGAUUAAAAGGACAUGAUCUUCCCUUAAAAUAUGAAAGCUCGUAUAAAUGCCGUGCAUACAAUGUCAGUGUCGACAGAAAUAGAAAAGAUAAACACAAGUGCGGAGAAUUUAAGUGCCAUAUCUCCAAACAGCUUGUUGUUAACGGAUAUUUAUGUUUUAUUCAACCCGAACCAGCAAAAAAGCCAAAUGUUAAUCUCAUUUUUUACGAUUUAGAAAUAAAUUUUACAAGCGGAGAGCACAUUGUGAAUUUUGAAGUUUUACAUAAUGCUUCAGCUGACGAACAUGUUUUCAAAGGAUACAAUGCAUUAAAUGAUUUUUGUUAGUUUUUGUUUUCAAGAGAGCAUACAGGCUAUGCUGCAAUUGCGCACAAUGCAAAACGAUUGACGCCGUUCUCAUUCAAAAGUGGCUCAUACAGUAUCGGCCGACAGCAGACAUGCAUGUCAUUCAUUCAGGUCUGAAAGUAAUGCAAUUAUUUUUAAAGGAUUACCAAAUCACACUAUUCGAUUCGUCAAAUUUCCUAAGUACGCCUCUUUCUAAUUUACCGCGAACGUUUGGAUUGAAUCUGUCGAUGUAUUCGAAAGGCGAUUUCCCAUUUAAAUUCAACACUCGAGAAAAUCAAAACUACAUUUGGCCGAUUCCAGCUCUAGAAUAUUAUAGCCUCGACACAAAGACUAGAUGAAAAAGAGAUGAACUAAUUGUAUGGCAUCAGAAUUUAGUUAAUGAGGGUAUGGAAUUCAGAAAGCUGUUCAUAGCAGAGACUACCAUAGAUCCGUUUUGUUACUGUACAAUUGCCUCUACAGUCAUGGCUGUAUUUCGUUGAAAUCAUUUAAAAGAAAAAAAUCAUAAGUAUUGUACCUAAGAAUAUGUAUCGCGAAAACAACAAGCCGUAUUCGAACAGUUCCAUUGAGUGGUUGCAGUUAGUUUCUUUUCAAACAAAAAGCAAUAGCAAGCACGCCCAACUCUACGGGGGUGAGAAAGUUAUUUUUGAUCCAUUGUUAGGUGAAAAUUAUUUCUUCAACAGAUUUUGCGUAGACACUAAUACUGUCUAUGAGUUUAUGGUAAAGUUUAUUACGGCUGCACUUUGUGCCUUGAUUUGAACGGUGAAAAUCCUUAUCACAGAGGGACAACGCUAACAGACGUGUACAAUCAAACCAUUGAGCGUGAGAAAAGAUUAUUAGAGUUAAGGUAUAACGUGAAAACAAUAUGGGAGCAUGAUUUCAAGCGAUUGAGACAGACAUCGCAAAUGCAGCAUUUUUUAAACACACACGAAGUCAUAACAGACCUAAACACGACUGAUAGUUUUUUUGGAAGGAAAGUUGAAGGCUUUAAGUUGUUUCGUAAGGCCGAAGAAAACGAAAAAAUUUUUAUUACGAUUUUACAAGUCUUAACACGUUUGUUUUGAAAAAUCGGCGUUAUCAUACAAGUCACCCAACAAUUAUUCGCAAAAAUUUUGAAGACAUUUUUAAUUACUUUUGUUUGAUUAAGUGUCGCGUUCUACCCCCGAAAAGCUUCACAUUCCUGUCCUCCCCGUGAAAGUUAAUGGUAAUAUAAUGUGUAAGCGAUGUGCUGCAACUGUCUCAUUUAGAAAACAAGCGUGCGUUUUGGGGGGACAUUUAGUACUAUUGAAAUGACUAAGGCAAAAUUUUAGAGAUACAUGAAAUCUGGCAUUUUGAAAAAGGUCUGACAGGUUAUUUACCGAAUGAGUCAAUUUCUUUUUGCGAGUGAAGCAAGAAGCUUCCGAUUGGCCGAGCUGGAUUUCCUCAGAAACAGACCAGGCAAAAUAGAUCAUUGACUACCUAAAGCAUGAGGGAAUUCUAUUACGUAGGCGAAAAUUCAAAAAAAUACAGGGUUAAAGGUACUAGCAAAGCUUUGUUUAAGGCCUCUUUUACACUAUACCGGAUUGCAGGAUUGCAGGAAAUUAACAAGUUAAUUGAGGAAACCGACUCCGAAGAAGAAGCGCAAAGCAUUUCCGAACGACAAUCCGAUAUGGAAUUUCAUGACAACAGUGAUCUUUCUGAUAACGAACCUUCAUUUUACCAACGGAUUGAUCAUCAACUGUAACAUCGACAGAGAGACGAGUUUCAUACAUUUCUUCACUGGAUCUUGAUGACAGAGACGGCAGGGACAGCGACGACGACAGAGACAGUGAACAUGGUAGGGACAGAGCAACGACGACAGAGACAGUGAAGACGGCAGGGACAGCGACGACGACAGAGACAGUAAAGACGGCAUGGACAGCGAUGACGACAGAGACAGUAAAGACGGCAGAGACAGUAAAGACGGCAUGGACAGCGACGACGACAGAGACA